rnacentral:rRNA from 1 species
UACGUAGGGGGCAAGCGUUGUCCGGAAUCAUUGGGCGUAAAGAGCGUGUAGGCGGCCGAGUAAGUCCGGUGUGAAAACUCGAGGCUUAACCUCGAGAUGUCAUCGGAAACUAUUCGGCUAGAGUCCGGAAGAGGAGAGUGGAAUUCCUGGUGUAGCGGUGAAAUGCGCAGAUAUCAGGAAGAACACCUAUGGCGAAAGCAGCUCUCUGGGACGGUACUGACGCUGAGACGCGAAAGCGUGGGGAGCGAACAGG